rnacentral:rRNA from 1 species
GAGUUUGAACCUGGCUCAGGAUGAACGCUGGCGGCGUGCUUAACACAUGCAAGUCGAACGAAGCAGCAUGGAACGAAUCUUCGGAGGAGGGAAAUGGUGACUGAGUGGCGGACGGGUGAGUAACGCGUGGGUAACCUGCCUCGUACAGGGGGACAACAGUUGGAAACGACUGCUAAUACCGCAUAAGCGCACGAUACUGCAUGGUAUUGUGUGAAAAACUGAGGUGGUACGAGAUGGACCCGCGUCUGAUUAGCUGGUUGGUGGGGUAACGGCCUACCAAGGCAACGAUCAGUAGCCGACCUGAGAGGGUGACCGGCCACAUUGGGACUGAGACACGGCCCAAACUCCUACGGGAGGCAGCAGUGGGGAAUAUUGCACAAUGGGGGAAACCCUGAUGCAGCGACGCCGCGUGAAGGAAGAAGUAUUUCGGUAUGUAAACUUCUAUCAGCAGGGAAGAAAAUGACGGUACCUGAGUAAGAAGCCCCGGCUAACUACGUGCCAGCAGCCGCGGUAAUACGUAGGGGGCAAGCGUUAUCCGGAUUUACUGGGUGUAAAGGGAGCGUAGACGGUAAUGUAAGUCUGAUGUGAAAGCCCGGGGCUCAACCCCGGGACUGCAUUGGAAACUAUGUAACUAGAGUACCGGAGAGGUAAGCGGAAUUCCUAGUGUAGCGGUGAAAUGCGUAGAUAUUAGGAGGAACACCAGUGGCGAAGGCGGCUUACUGGACG